rnacentral:rRNA from 2 species
UAGGGAAUCUUCCGCAAUGGGCGAAAGCCUGACGGAGCAACGCCGCGUGAGUGAUGAAGGUCUUCGGUUCGUAAAACUCUGUUAUUAGGGAAGAACAAAUGUGUAAGUAACUAUGCACGUCUUGACGGUACCUAAUCAGAAAGCCACGGCUAACUACGUGCCAGCAGCCGCGGUAAUACGUAGGUGGCAAGCGUUAUCCGGAAUUAUUGGGCGUAAAGCGCGCGUAGGCGGUUUUUUAAGUCUGAUGUGAAAGCCCACGGCUCAACCGUGGAGGGUCAUUGGAAACUGGAAAACUUGAGUGCAGAAGAGGAAAGUGGAAUUCCAUGUGUAGCGGUGAAAUGCGCAGAGAUAUGGAGGAACACCAGUGGCGAAGGCGACUUUCUGGUCUGUAACUGACGCUGAUGUGCGAAAGCGUGGGGAUCAAACAGG